UACGGGGGCAGGGCAGUGUUGUCGAAUCAUUGGGCGUAAAGCGCGUGUAGGCGGCCAGAAAAGUCCGCUGUGAAAACUCGAGGCUCAACUUCGAGCUGUCGGUGGAAACUUUCUGGCUAGAGUCCGGAAGAGGAGAAUGGAAUUCCUGGUGUAGCGGUGAAAUGCGCAGAUAUCAGGAAGAACACCCGUGGCGAAGGCGGUUCUCUGGGACGGUACUGACGCUGAGACGCGAAAGCGUGGGGAGCGAACAGG
rnacentral:rRNA from 1 species